CAUGCAAGUCGAACGAGCGGGAGAGAGCUUGCUUUCUCAAGCGAGUGGCGAACGGGUGAGUAACGCGUGAGGAACCUGCCUCAAAGAGGGGGACAACAGUUGGAAACGACUGCUAAUACCGCAUAAGCCCACAGGUCGGCAUCGACCAGAGGGAAAAGGAGCAAUCCGCUUUGAGAUGGCCUCGCGUCCGAUUAGCUAGUUGGUGAGGUAAUGGCCCACCAAGGCAACGAUCGGUAGCCGGACUGAGAGGUUGAACGGCCACAUUGGGACUGAGACACGGCCCAGACUCCUACGGGAGGCAGCAGUGGGGAAUAUUGCACAAUGGGGGAAACCCUGAUGCAGCGACGCCGCGUGGAGGAAGAAGGUCUUCGGAUUGUAAACUCCUGUUGUUGAGGAAGAUAAUGACGGUACUCAACAAGGAAGUGACGGCUAACUACAUGCCAGCAGCCGCGGUAAAACGUAGGUCACAAGCGUUGUCCGGAAUUACUGGGUGUAAAGGGAGCGCAGGCGGGAAGACAAGUUGGAAGUGAAAUCUAUGGGCUCAACCCAUAAACUGCUUUCAAAACUGUUUUUCUUGAGUAGUGCAGAGGUAGGCGGAAUUCCCGGUGUAGCGGUGGAAUGCGUAGAUAUCGGGAGGAACACCAGUGGCGAAGGCGGCCUACUGGGCACCAACUGACGCUGAGGCUCGAAAGUGUGGGUAGCAAACAGGAUUAGAUACCCUGGUAGUCCACACCGUAAACGAUGAUUACUAGGUGUUGGAGGAUUGACCCCUUCAGUGCCGCAGUUAACACAAUAAGUAAUCCACCUGGGGAGUACGACCGCA
rnacentral:rRNA from 1 species